GCGACAAUUUUUCUAAAAAAAAUAAAUAUGUCUCAGUUAAUUGUUCUCUGAAAAGCUACAAACGUACGAAAAAUUUUCGAUGCUUUCUUCCUUUUUUACGGCCCAUUCAACAAGUUCACCUUCAACAGGGCAUUCAAACUGUUCGACAAACUCACGAUCAACAUAUACCUCUGAACCAUCUUCCUGGUCUUCUUUAACUUUGGUAAAAAAUCUAUAUAAAAGCAAAGGAGUGCCCUUUUUUACGUAACUUCCUUGAGGAACUAGACAGCUCGCGAUUUCAAUGGGAUAAUUCAACGAGUUCGGAAGGUGAAUUGGUGUCAAUCGUUUCGACAUGAAUGACUAGCUAAUAUAAACAAAAUCGAAGUGUUCUUUAUUGACAAUCGCCUCAUAUAGUCCUUGGUAAACGUUUAAAUUCCAAGGAUACGUUAAGAUAUGUUAUCAGCGGUUGGUCUUGGUAAAGAGUAGGUCUGGCGUAGAUACUAACAACUUGGUAAGUUAGUUAGUAUUGUCCGUCAGUAAAGAAAAAACAAUGGAAACAUUUAUGAAGAUUGGUAUUUUUUACUAAAACCCCCACUGAAGGUACAAUAAAAAUAAGUGGUUUUAUCGCAUUUGGCAAAGCAUGAAUGAGUCACCUCUAAAGAUAGUGUCAAAACUCGUAAUUACGAUAUUACUAAAGUAAUUACAAAAAAUACUAAAAUCAUCAUUUUUGAUACUUUCAAUAAGUCUAGUCAUGUCCUUGAAUGACUUUUACUGUAAUAGAAUUCAAAAAAAAAACGACGAUUAUUACUUUCAAACGAAUCAUACGAAACAAAUAUACUGUUCAUUAGAGAUUUGGCGUUUUUUGACUUGCUAAAGGAUUAUUAAACAUAUGAAACGGUUACAGAAGUAGGCAAAUUUGUACAACAGUAAAUAUAACUAUAAAGCUUUUAUACAAUACCACUGCUGUUACUACCCAAAUCUUGAAUAGGGAUAGCACCGUCUGCCUGAUAAUAAGCAGCUUCUGUCACGGAUAUAUAAUUGGGGAUAGCAUCGAUAAUUUUAGAAAAUUUCGUUUCAACCCAGACAAGAAAGCCUCCUCGUGGCAGGAAAAAGUCCAUAUAAGCGAAGGAAAAUAUAAUAGAAAUAACGACAGCAGUAAGGUGCAAAACGAUCGUAAUUGAAAAAUCUAACGGAAGUCCUAAGACAGGAGCUACUAAAGCUAAUGCCAUCCUUACGACUUGAGGAAGAUUCAAACUAAAAUAUUGUUAAUUAUAACGUUGAAUAAGUACAGUCAUACAGUUUGGGAUGCAAAUCUCCAAAAAGAUUCAAGAGAUACAUAGCCAGAAGCGAAUAAACCCAACCACUAAAAACAUUAGCAUGUAUAUCCAAGAAAAGAAUUUUAAGGUGAAAAAGUUAGAUAUAAAUUUUCAAACAAUUUAAUAUCAUUUAUGAGAGACAAAAAACAUACCCAAUACCAACAUAGACAUCGUCAGACUCAGCAACAUAGCAAGCUAUUAAGUAUGCAAUGGCAGGAAUUACUUCCAAAAAUCCAAAAAACAUGGCGAUUGUACAUAAUGUUCCGUAUCUGCGUUCAAAACGUGGCAUAAGAAGAAAAAUUCCUAAAAGUCCUAAAAUGAAAGAAAUUACUCCAUGAUGAACGAGCGGAUAUGUGUUUAGGGUAUGAACUGCGUACUUUGUCAGUUUGUUUCAGGAAUAUAUAUUUAUUCUAACAUACGGCGAAUGUUUAUUAAAUUAUGCCAGCUUAGGCCAAAAAAGUCAACGAUAGGCAAGAAAAUGUUUACGAUUCCAAGAAUGAUAGUUAACAGGGCAACAAUCACAGUGAAGAGUGGAAUUUUCAUAAGGAAAAGUUCCGCUAAAAAUCCGACCGAUGUCGAAAUACGUUCUCCUAGUUCAAUGGCCAUGCUAUUUAUUAAUUAAGUUACACCUUUUACCUUCUCUCGGUAAUAAUUCGUCUAAAAUAUUCCCUUUUUAAAAAAGUUUUAGGAAUAUUGACUUUGUUGGUUUAUAGCAAGGUAAAGUAAGCGCUGGUUAUACCAGCCAAGGUGUAUAUGAAAGUCAAUCGCAAUACAAGUUCGACUAACCAAUUAUUUUUCAAGGGAAAAUAUUG